GUGGGGAAUAUUGCACAAUGGAGGAAACUCUGAUGCAGCGACGCCGCGUGAAGGAUGAAGUAUUUCGGUAUGUAAACUUCUAUCAGCAGGGAAGAAGAUGACGGUACCUGACUAAGAAGCCCCGGCUAACUACGUGCCAGCAGCCGCGGUAAUACGUAGGGGGCAAGCGUUAUCCGGAUUUACUGGGUGUAAAGGGAGCGUAGACGGCCUGGCAAGCCAGAUGUGAAAGCCCGGGGCUCAACCCCGGGACUGCAUUUGGAACUGCCAUGCUAGAGUGUCGGAGAGGCAAGUGGAAUUCCUAGUGUAGCGGUGAAAUGCGUAGAUAUUAGGAGGAACACCAGUGGCGAAGGCGGCUUGCUGGACGAUGACUGACGUUGAGGCUCGAAAGCGUGGGGAGCAAACAGG
rnacentral:rRNA from 1 species